UACGAAGGGGGGCUAGCGUUGUUCGGAAUUACUGGGCGUAAAGAGCGCGCAGGCGGUCGUCCAAGUCGCGUGUGAAAGCCCCCCGGCUCAACUGGGGAGGGUCACGCGAUACUGGUCGACUCGAAGGCAGGAGAGGGUAGUGGAAUUCCCGGUGUAGUGGUGAAAUGCGUAGAUAUCGGGAGGAACACCAGUGGCGAAGGCGACUACCUGGCCUGUUCUUGACGCUGAGGCGCGAAAGCUAGGGGAGCAAACGGG
rnacentral:rRNA from 1 species